rnacentral:rRNA from 1 species
UACAGAGGGGGCAAGCGUUGUUCGGAAUUACUGGGCGUAAAGCGCGCGUAGGCGGCUUUGUAAGUUAGAGGUGAAAGCCCGGGGCUCAACCCCGGAACUGCCUUUAAGACUGCAUCGCUUGAAUCCGGGAGAGGUGAGUGGAAUUCCGGAGUGUAGAGGUGAAAUUCGUAGAUAUUCGGAAGAACACCAGUGGCGAAGGCGGCUCACUGGACCGGCA